UUAAGUAAAUUCCAUCUUCAAUCUAUUAUUAACAAUUUUUCGAAUUUUGUUUCUGGAGUGAAUGAUGGCGUAAAAGUCGCGCGUAACAUCCAAGAAGAAAAUCCACGUCUCUGCCAAAUACCUAGCGUCAAGAAAGCAACCACAUUUUUCCCUUGAUUUUGGCAACCAUCCCAGUUUUCACCGGAAUACAUCAGACGCGCAAAACCAAUAUGAGAAACGUCUUGAAUUUCCUCGCAGAUCGUGUAACAUGUAAAAUUAUUUACUUUCCUUUAAAUAUUUCGAUCGAAUCAUUUGAAGGUCAGAUGCUGGAGGAAAGAGAAAAAAUAUAUCGCGUGCGUAAAACAGCAUCUCGCUGAAAAAUUACGGCAAAGAUAUUACGGGUCAUCUCUUAUAUUUCACAAAGUCAAUAACGCAGUUACGUAAUCAGAUAAAGAGCACAAUUGGAAAUUAUGUAACUAAUCUUAUGAUGCGAACCUGCUAGUAAAUGCCUGAAGCGUGCGAUUUCAUUAAUUACGUUCAAUGUACUCAAAUGACAGAGCAGAAAACGGUUCGCAUUAUUCGAUCAAUGGAUCACGCCUAUUACAUCAUAAGAAUCAGUACACGUGGAUCCCUGGCAGAGCAGAUUAUACGUUUACGCAACGAAAACGAGGUGGAACACAUAUCCUAGCAUUUUUUUUUUAGCAUUUCAAAUCACCGUCUACGAUGAUAAUGUCGCAUAUCGUGAUCAAUGUAGAAACUUAUUAAAGAAAGAAGAUAUGUUAUUCACAGUCAAUGGAUCAUCUUGAAGCAAAUAUGAUGGCAAAAAAUAAUAGAGAGGGAAAGAUGUACAUAGUUGAACAUGAACAUAACCAUGUUUUAUUUGUAAUACCCAUAUGAAAAAUACGUAUGUAAGUAGAAGCGUGAAAGGUGAGGCGCGUAACGAGUACACUCGCACGUGACGAUGCUUCCAGUUUGCGUACAACUGCACUUGUAAGGCGAUUAAUAGGACCGAUCGAAUUCACUUAUGAUCUUUAGUUAUUCGCACACCGGUUUCGUCGUAUCCGUGCGUGUGUAACGCGUUGGGUUAUAUAAGAUAACGCGACACAUACACCUACAGCCAGUCACAAAAGUCCGCAUACACCUCUUAAAUUUAAGAGCAUCAAUAUCUUUUAGCAUCAAAUCUUAUAUUAAAUGUAUGACACAUAUUUAAAAAAUAAAAUAAAGAAUAGAAGAUGCAAUGCCUCACAAGAAUGCAUACGCUUAUACUUACAUAAAAUUAUAGAAAAAAGUAGACUUCGUAAUGUAUUAAUACUCCGUAAGUCUUACAGUCUUCCUGGUAUUGAUAAAGUUAAAUAUUUCGUAAUUUCUGAUACAAUUCUAUGUUAAAAUUUUUAUAAGCUAAAUAUUUACAUUUUUUUAAUACCUUCUGAAAAUACGUUAAUGUAUUAUGGAAACACAAAACUCGUAAAGCGUAUGUAAACUUCCAUGACUGAUUUGAAUUUCUUUCGCAGAAGAGAAAAGAAACUUCAACUCAAAUGUGAUCGAAUAAAAUGUGAUUUUACCGAAAACAAUAGUAAAAAAAGGAUGAAGGAAGAAGAAAGAAAAGAUAAGGAACGUAGAAACAUUGUUUAUUAUUUGGAUACAGAACUAUAAUAUGAAGAAUCUCUAUUUUGCGUUUUCAAGAGAGUAAAAAAAGAGAAAGAAAUAAAACACAAUGAGUGAUUAUAGUAACAAAUAGAUUCACGCGAUACGAUAUGUCACAAGAAUUGAAAACGUUGCUAAAAUACUACAAUCGUGUACAACACGUAUCCUAUUCUCUCACCUAACUCUGAAUUCUCUUUCGUCAAUCGUAUGAGUUUAAAUCUAUUAAAAUCAAGAUUUCAAUCUUGGACAGUUUUUCAAAUCUAAAAUAAUUCGAAGUUUUCUUAUCAUAAUUCAAUCAAAACGAUU